GUAACCAACUGGACAGGAGCAAACGUAUUCACCACCAGAUCCAACAUGAGAGCAAUUGCCUCCAUUAAGGCAAGGAAUUUGAUGAUCACAAGGGUAUAGUAAUAAAAUAAGAAAAGAAAUGAAGCCAGAAAAAGAAAGAAACAGAACAGAAAAAACUAGGAGACUCCUGAUGUAAGUAGGGAACUCUUAACAUGACAUGGGACUAUGACUAGGGGACAAAAAAACAAACUAGACCCUAAACCCUAAACCUUAAACCCAACCUUGGGGAUUAACUAGGGGACUCCUAACAAAAUAAAAUGACAUUAGGAGUUUGCUGUUUUGGCGUUUCUUUCUGUUUCUGGUUUCGUUCUACUUUUACUAAUACCAGUUAUAUACCUAUUUCACAUGCAGGUCCUGUAUAACCAGCUAAACAUGUACACUGAUCAGGUACCAGGCAUUGUCCUCCCAUUGAACUACAAUUAACAGUACAGGACAACUCAUUGCAGAGACCAAAGAUGCAUUAUCUUGUUCAUCUCCCUAAACAAAUGACUCUGUUUGGUCCACUAAGACACCACUGGUGUAUGAGGUUUGAGUCAAAGAAUGCACAAAUCAAAAGCUUCGUUACACGCUGCUUUAGAAAUGUACCCCUUUCCGUUGCAAUAUGCCAUCAACAGUAUCUUUCAUACCAUUUAUACACCCCGCCAGAACGACAUUCCUCCAAUUUUUUAUAUGGUGGUGAUCAAGUUUCAGGAGAUUCACAACAGUUUGACCAUUAUAGGGAAAGUAUUGAGAAGCUGCUAGACAUACCCAACAAUUCCCUUUUUGGCUUA
rnacentral:lncRNA from 1 species